rnacentral:rRNA from 1 species
UACGGGGGGAGCAAGCGUUGUUCGGAUUUACUGGGCGUAAAGGGCGCGUAGGCGGCCACCGCAAGUCGACUGUGAAAUCCCCGGGCUCAACCUGGGAAUGGCAUUUGGGACUGCAAGGCUAGAGUGUGGCAGAGGAGACUGGAAUUCCCGGUGUAGCAGUGAAAUGCGUAGAUAUCGGGAGGAAUACCGAUGGCGAAGGCAGGUCUCUGGGCUGACACUGACGCUCAUGCACGAAAGCGUGGGGAGCAAACAGG